AUUGAACGCUGGCGGCAUGCUUUACACAUGCAAGUCGAACGGUAACAGGCCUUCGGGUGCUGACGAGUGGCGAACGGGUGAGUAAUGCAUCGGAACGUACCCAGAGGUGGGGGAUAACGCAGCGAAAGCUGUGCUAAUACCGCAUGUGAUCUGAGGAUGAAAGCGGGGGACCGCGCAGCAAUGUUUGGCCUCGCGCCUUUGGAGCGGCCGAUGUCGGAUUAGCUAGUUGGUGGGGUAAAGGCCUACCAAGGCGACGAUCCGUAGCUGGUCUGAGAGGACGGCCAGGCACACGGGGACUGAGACAGGGCCCAGACUCCGACGGGAGGCAGCAGUGGGGAAUUUUGGACGAGGGGCGCAAGCCUGAUCCAGCAAUGCCGCGUGCGGGAAGAAGGCCUUCGGGUGGGAAACCGCUUUUGGCAGGAACGAAACGGUGUCCGCUAAUACCGGGCGCUAAUGACGGUACCUGCAGAAUAAGCACCGGCUAACUACGUG
rnacentral:rRNA from 1 species